CUCGAAUGGAUAGUCGACAAAUUUUCAGUUUUAUCGGUGUUUGUUGCGUCGCGUCGCGUUUGGGCUUCGUAUAAUCGGUGAUAAUUUAUGUUACGGAUGGAAAGUUUAACACUGCAAAAAUGCAAUUGAUCGUCCGACUGGUGGCCACUUGCUGUGCUAUGAGAGAGACGGCGUUUGCGAAGGUCAAAUGGCGGAAAACGGUUCUGAUGGACUACGAUGGACUACCGACUCUGAGGAGCAUCGGCAUGCAUUGGUGAGUCUUUAAUUUUCACACUGAUAGUCAAAGUAGUAGUAGUAGUGUAUGGGUAAUUUAUAAAUCGCACUGGUUUUUAAAAAGAUAAUUGUAAGAGAUAUAAGUUUAAACUGCAUUAAAUCCGCAGGAAUAAUUCGUACAUGUGUUGCGAAGUAAUC